GGGAGUUGUAGGAAUGGAUGCGUAGAGAAAGAAAUGAAAUCUGAACCAGAUUUGUGAUUUGAUUCUUUCCUAUGACGUCCAUUCCAAUGAUUUCCAG
rnacentral:ncRNA from 2 species